UACGUAGGGGGCAAGCGUUAUCCGGAAUUACUGGGUGUAAAGGGUGAGUAGGCGGCAUGGUAAGCCAGAUGUGAAAGCCUUGGGCUUAACCCGAGGAUUGCAUUUGGAACUAUCAAGCUAGAGUACAGGAGAGGAAAGCGGAAUUCCUAGUGUAGCGGUGAAAUGCGUAGAUAUAUGGAGGAACACCAGUGGCGAAAGCGGCUCUCUGGCCUGUAACUGACACUGAGGCUCGAAAGCGUGGGGAGCAAACAGG
rnacentral:rRNA from 1 species